GUCUUUGUUUGAAGUUUGAGCUCCUGAAGCCCUUGUGAUUGGAGUCGUGGCUUUGUUGGUAUUGGACCGAAAGGACUUGCAGAGUUUUCACUCCUGGAGAGCGACUUUUGGGAGAGGAGGAGGAUUCUAUCGGGUAUGGGUUGCACAUAGAUAUCAUAGGUGGUUUAUUUGAAGAAGCAAUCAGAGCCGUUGGAUCUGCUAGGGACAGGUGUCACUCACCCAAAUAACUAUGGACAAGCUUAGUUGAUUAGUGCCAUGGGGACGAGCCAGAUCAAAGAAGGGAUGUGGAAAAGUGCACAAUGUCUUGAAGGAUUGGCACCAUCUACAAUGGAGGAGUCAUGGCACGAUUGAGGAGAAAAGAGAUCACUUCAUUACAGUAUGAAUCAAUCUAGAUGUGAGAGAGGCCAGCAGGAAGAGCAUGACCCAACCCAUAUCCAAUGGCAAUGGCUUCCCCAAUAACAUUGACACACUUUUACUGAAAACUAGCCAAGUAAUAUAAAAUCUCUAUUUUAA